rnacentral:rRNA from 1 species
UACGAGGGGUGCAAGCGUUGUUCGGAAUCACUGGGCGUAAAGGGCGCGUAGGCGGCCUGUUAAGUCCGAUGUUAAAGACUGGGGCUCAACCCCAGCAUUGCGUUGGAUACUGGCAGGCUUGACGGUUGGAGAGGCGAGCGGAAUUACCAGUGUAGCGGUGAAAUGCGUAGAUACUGGUAGGAACACCCACUGCGAAGGCAGCUCGCUGGACAACACGUGACGCUGAGGCGCGAAAGUGUGGGGAGCAAACCGGAUUAGAUACCCG